rnacentral:rRNA from 1 species
AGGACGAACGCUGGCGGCGUGCUUAACACAUGCAAGUCGAACGGAAAGGCCCUGCUUUUGUGGGGUGCUCGAGUGGCGAACGGGUGAGUAACACGUGAGUAACCUGCCCUUGACUUUGGGAUAACUUCAGGAAACUGGGGCUAAUACCGGAUAGGAGCUCCUGCUGCAUGGUGGGGGUUGGAAAGUUUCGGCGGUUGGGGAUGGACUCGCGGCUUAUCAGCUUGUUGGUGGGGUAGUGGCUUACCAAGGCUUUGACGGGUAGCCGGCCUGAGAGGGUGACCGGCCACAUUGGGACUGAGAUACGGCCCAGACUCCUACGGGAGGCAGCAGUGGGGAAUAUUGCACAAUGGGCGGAAGCCUGAUGCAGCAACGCCGCGUGCGGGAUGACGGCCUUCGGGUUGUAAACCGCUUUCGCCUGUGACGAAGCGUGAGUGACGGUAAUGGGUAAAGAAGCACCGGCUAACUACGUGCCAGCAGCCGCGGUGAUACGUAGGGUGCGAGCGUUGUCCGGAUUUAUUGGGCGUAAAGGGCUCGUAGGUGGUUGAUCGCGUCGGAAGUGUAAUCUUGGGGCUUAACCCUGAGCGUGCUUUCGAUACGGGUUGACUUGAGGAAGGUAGGGGAGAAUGGAAUUCCUGGUGGAGCGGUGGAAUGCGCAGAUAUCAGGAGGAACACCAGUGGCGAAGGCGGUUCUCUGGGCCUUUCCUGACGUUGAGGAGCGAAAGCGUGGGGAGCGAACAGGCUUAGAUACCCUGGUAGUCCACGCUGUAAACGGUGGGUACUAGGUGUGGGGUCCAUUCCACGGGUUCCGUGCCGUAGCUAACGCUUUAAGUACCCCGCCUGGGGAGUACGGCCGCAAGGCUAAAACUCAAAGGAAUUGACGGGGCCCCGCACAAGCGGCGGAGCAUGCGGAUUAAUUCGAUGCAACGCGUAGAACCUUACCUGGGUUUGACAUGGAUCGGGAGUGCUCAGAGAUGGGUGUGCCUCUUUUGGGGUCGGUUCACAGGUGGUGCAUGGCUGUCGUCAGCUCGUGUCGUGAGAUGUUGGGUUAAGUCCCGCAACGAGCGCAACCCUUGUUCACUGUUGCCAGCACGUUAUGGUGGGGACUCAGUGGAGACCGCCGGGGUCAACUCGGAGGAAGGUGGGGAUGACGUCAAGUCAUCAUGCCCCUUAUGUCCAGGGCUUCACGCAUGCUACAAUGGCUGGUACAGAGAGUGGCGAGCCUGUGAGGGUGAGCGAAUCUCGGAAAGCCGGUCUCAGUUCGGAUUGGGGUCUGCAACUCGACCUCAUGAAGUCGGAGUCGCUAGUAAUCGCAGAUCAGCGACGCUGCGGUGAAUACGUUCCCGGGGCUUGUACACACCGCCCGUCAAGUCAUGAAAGUUGGUAACACCCGAAGCCGGUGGCCUAACCGUUGUGGGGGAGCCGUCGAAGGUGGGACUGGUGAUUAGG